rnacentral:rRNA from 1 species
GACAGAGGGUGCAAACGUUGUUCGGAUUUACUGGGCGUAAAGCGCGUGUAGGCGGCUUCGUAAGUUGGAUGUGAAAUCCCACGGCUCAACCGUGGACGUGCAUCCAAAACUACGUCGCUGGAGUCUCGGAGAGGAAGGUGGAAUGCUUGGUGUAGAGGUGAAAUUCGUAGAUAUCAAGCGGAACACCUGCGGCGAAGGCGGCCUUCUGGACGAUGACUGACGCUGAGACGCGAAAGCGUGGGGAGCAAACAGG